UACGAAGGGAGCAAGCGUUAUUCGGAAUUACUGGGCGUAAAGAGCGCGUAGGUGGUUGAUUAAGUUGGUUGUUAAAUUCCUUGGCUCAACCGAGGUUCGGCAAUUGAUACUGGUCGACUAGAGGACAAGAGAGAGAAGUGGAAUUCUCGGAGUAGCGGUAAAAUGCGUAGAUAUCGGGAGGAACACCAGUGGCGAAGGCGGGUUCCUGGCCCAUUACUGACGCUGAGGUGCGAAAGCCGGGGGAGCAAACGGG
rnacentral:rRNA from 1 species